ACCGUAAAGUGAGAAAUGGCGAACGGGUGAGUAACACGUGGGUAAGCUGCCCAUCAGAAGGGGAUAACACUUGGAAACAGGUGCUAAUACCGUAUAACAAUCGAAACCGCAUGGUUUUGAUUUGAAAGGCGCUUUCGGGUGUCGCUGAUGGAUGGACCCGCGGUGCAUUAGCUAGUUGGUGAGGUAACGGCUCACCAAGGCCACGAUGCAUAGCCGACCUGAGAGGGUGAUCGGCCACAUUGGGACUGAGACACGGCCCAAACUCCUACGGGAGGCAGCAGUAGGGAAUCUUCGGCAAUGGACGAAAGUCUGACCGAGCAACGCCGCGUGAGUGAAGAAGGUUUUCGGAUCGUAAAACUCUGUUGUUAGAGAAGAACAAGGAUGAGAGUAACUGUUCAUCCCUUGACGGUAUCUAACCAGAAAGCCACGGCUAACUACGUGCCAGCAGCCGCGGUAAUACGUAGGUGGCAAGCGUUGUCCGGAUUUAUUGGGCGUAAAGCGAGCGCAGGCGGUUUCUUAAGUCUGAUGUGAAAGCCCCCGGCUCAACCGGGGAGGGUCAUUGGAAACUGGGAGACUUGAGUGCAGAAGAGGAGAGUGGAAUUCCAUGUGUAGCGGUGAAAUGCGUAGAUAUAUGGAGGAACACCAGUGGCGAAGGCGGCUCUCUGGUCUGUAACUGACGCUGAGGCUCGAAAGCGUGGGGAGCAAACAGGAUUAGAUACCCUGGUAGUCCACGCCGUAAACGAUGAGUGCUAAGUGUUGGAGGGUUUCCGCCCUUCAGUGCUGCAGCUAACGCAUUAAGCACUCCGCCUGGGGAGUACGACCGCAAGGUUGAAACUCAGAGGAAUUGACGGGGGCCCGCACAAGCGGUGGAGCAUGUGGUUUAAUUCGAAGCAACGCGAAGAACCUUACCAGGUCUUGACAUCCUUUGACCACUCUAGAGAUAGAGCUUCCCCUUCGGGGGCAAAGUGACAGGUGGUGCAUGGUUGUCGUCAGCUCGUGUCGUGAGAUGUUGGGUUAAGUCCCGCAACGAGCGCAACCCUUAUUGUUAGUUGCCAUCAUUCAGUUGGGCACUCUACCAAGACUGCCCGUGACAAACCGGAGGAAAGGGGGGGAUGACCUCAAAUCAUCAUGCCCCUUAUGACCU
rnacentral:rRNA from 1 species